CUGCCACAACGGCUUCCUGGCGUGGCGGGUUGACCCCAAUGGAGCA
rnacentral:ncRNA from 1 species